AACAACGGGUGAUGUCACGGUUAGUUUACGCCUGUUUAGAAACGGAAGACCCGAAGGAGGACAACCAAUGGUCUGGUGCUGCUAAUCUUGAAAGGGAAGACUCAAGGAAGGACAACUGAUGGUCCGAGAUGCCUUGUAAGGAGAGGAGGUUGAAAGAAAAACAAAAGGAGCUGCGUGAGGCUGCGAAAGGCAGUGGAUCACUCACCAGCUGGAUCACAAAGAGCACAAAAGAUGGUCAGGGAGUGAGUCAUGACAGGUCAGAUGAGGAGACGGAAAUUCCAACAGAGGCACUGCAAGCUCUGAAGAAACUCUGCCAGGUCUACAACAUUGAAGAAGACGACAAACUGCAGAC